rnacentral:rRNA from 1 species
UACAGAGGGUGCAAGCGUUAAUCGGAAUUACUGGGCGUAAAGCGCGCGUAGGUGGUUCGUUAAGUUGGAUGUGAAAUCCCCGGGCUCAACCUGGGAACUGCAUUCAAACUGACGAGCUAGAGUAUGGUAGAGGGUGGUGGAAUUUCCUGGUGUAAGCGGUGAAAUGCGUAGAGUAUAGGAAGGAACACCAGUGGCGAAGGCGACCACCUGGACUGAUACUGACACUGAGGU